rnacentral:rRNA from 1 species
AUACGGAGGAUGCGAGCGUUAUCCGGAUUUAUUGGGUUUAAAGGGAGCGUAGGUGGGAUAUUAAGUCAGCUGUGAAAGUUUGGGGCUCAACCUUAAAAUUGCAGUUGAUACUGGUUUCCUUGAGUACGGUACAGGUGGGCGGAAUUCGUGGUGUAGCGGUGAAAUGCUUAGAUAUCACGAAGAACUCCGAUCGCGAAGGCAGCUCACCGGGCCGUAACUGACACUGAUGCUCGAAAGGGCUGGUAUCAAACAGGAUUAGAUACCCUGGUAGUCCGCACAGUAAACGAUGAAUACUCGGUGUUUGCGAUACACUGUAAGCGGCCAAGCGAAAGCGUUAAGUAUUCCACCUGGGGAGUACGCCGGCAACGGUGAAACUCAAAUGAAUUGACGGGG